rnacentral:rRNA from 1 species
CCAGACUCCUACGGGAGGCAGCAGUGAGGAAUAUUGGUCAAUGGCCGGAAGGCUGAACCAGCCAAGUCGCGUGAGGGAAUAAGGCCCUAUGGGUCGUAAACCUCUUUUGUCAGGGAGCAAAGGCGUCCACGAGUGGACGAGAGGAGAGUACCUGAAGAAAAAGCAUCGGCUAACUCCGUGCCAGCAGCCGCGGUAAUACGGAGGAUGCGAGCGUUAUCCGGAUUUAUUGGGUUUAAAGGGUGCGUAGGCGGAGUGUCAAGUCAGUCGUGAAAUACCGGGGCUCAACCCCGGGGCUGCGAUUGAAACUGCACACCUUGAGUAUCGGAGAGGAAAGCGGAAUUCCUAGUGUAGCGGUGAAAUGCGUAGAUAUUAGGAGGAACACCAGUGGCGAAGGCGGCUUUCUGGACGACAACUGACGCUGAGGCGCGAAAGUGUGGGGAGCAAACAGGAUUAGAUGCCCUAGUA